UACGUAGGGGUCCGAGCGUUGUCCCGGAAUUAUUGGGGCGUAAAGGGCUCGUAGGCGGUUUGUCGCGUCGGGGAGUGAAAACCUACAGCUUAACUGUGGGCUUGCUUUCGAUACGGGGCAGACUUGAGGCAUGCAGGGGGAGAACGGAAUUCCUGGUGUAGCGGUGAAAUGCGCAGAUAUCAGGAGGAACACCGGUGGCGAAGGCGGUUCUCUGGGCAUGUUCUGACGCUGAGGAGCGAAAAGUGUGGGGGAGCGAACAGG
rnacentral:rRNA from 1 species